GCGCCGGUGGUGUAUCGGUAACAUUGGGUCUUCCCACUCGGUUUCUGGCCGGUCACGUGGCCUAGCACCGGGUUCGACUCCCGGCCGGCGCA